GUGGCUCCUGGGGAUACAGAUUCAAGGAGGGGAACGGGGAUUUCUUAUAGUAAGUAAUAAACGGGAAUUCCUUAUACAGUUGACCUUUGUACUCAAAUGUGCUACAUAGGCGCUCUUUCGCGAGAGGCGCGGAGGCGGGGCCUGGGGUGGGAGUGGUCACUGGCGGAAAGGCGGGGAACGGACCCGAGGCCAGGCGAUCGCGCCGUGGCAGCUGCUCUCAGUUCAGCCGCGCUUCCUGCGUCCCCGCCCCACCCGCUGAGGAGCGGACCGGCGGAGCCUCACGCAAUCCCGCGGGCCGGGGGCGGAGCCAUGCAGGGCCCCGACCAGAGACCCGAACGCGCGGAGCACUCGCCCGCCCCAACCCCCGUUCUCACUCCCUACCCGCUCCCAGCCGCCCGACGCCGGCCCGCCUCCCCGACCCGGCACUGACCGGGCCUUCUAGGAACCUGGGGGGACCCACCAUGGCGACGUUCUCACGGUUCGAGUCUCCGGAACUCAGACUGCACACGCCAGCACCUGACGGCCCGUCGCGCGGCAAGAAUACCAGAGUCGGUUGCCCGCGGCCUCCUCCAGAGGAUCAUCCCGACCCAGGGAAGGAACCUAGGUCUCUUCCGUCUAACCUGCACGGGCAGGAGCAACUGUCUUCUAAUAUCAUGGCUGCAGUCACGAUCCUCAGUGAUUUU